GAGUUUGAUCGUGGCUCAGAUUGAACGCUGGCGGCAGGCCUAACACAUGCAAGUCGAGCGGAUGACGGGAGCUUGCUCCUUGAUUCAGCGGCGGACGGGUGAGUAAUGCCUAGGAAUCUGCCUGGUAGUGGGGGACAACGUUUCGAAAGGAACGCUAAUACCGCAUACGUCCUACGGGAGAAAGCAGGGGACCUUCGGGCCUUGCGCUAUCAGAUGAGCCUAGGUCGGAUUAGCUAGUUGGUGGGGUAAUGGCUCACCAAGGCGACGAUCCGUAACUGGUCUGAGAGGAUGAUCAGUCACACUGGAACUGAGACACGGUCCAGACUCCUACGGGAGGCAGCAGUGGGGAAUAUUGGACAAUGGGCGAAAGCCUGAUCCAGCCAUGCCGCGUGUGUGAAGAAGGUCUUCGGAUUGUAAAGCACUUUAAGUUGGGAGGAAGGGCGAGUAAGUUAAUACCUUGCUGUUUUGACGUUACCGACAGAAUAAGCACCGGCUAACUCUGUGCC
rnacentral:rRNA from 1 species